rnacentral:tRNA from 1 species
GCCUUGGUGGCUCAGUCGGUUAAGCGUCUGACUUCAGCUCAGGUCAUGAUCUCGUGGUUUGUGAGUUCAAGCCUCGCAUCGGGCU